GCUUUCAUGUGGCUCAGUUGGCAGAGCAUUGUGCUAACAAUGCAAAGGUCAUGGGUUCAAAUCCCAGGGAAAUCA
rnacentral:tRNA from 1 species